rfam:Vibrio vulnificus YJ016 DNA, chromosome I, complete sequence.
CUUGGCGACCAUAGCGUUUUGGACCCACCUGAAUCCAUUCCGAACUCAGAAGUGAAACGAAAUAGCGUCGAUGGUAGUGUGGGGUUUCCCCAUGUGAGAGUAGAACAUCGCCAGGC